rnacentral:misc_RNA from 1 species
GUCGUAACAAGGUAGCCGUACCGGAACGUGGGGCUGGAUCACCUCCUUAUACGAUUUAGAACUUAUUUGUUCGUAGUGUCCACACAGAUGAUUGUUAGUUAGUUUUACCCUUUGGGUUUAACUGAUUAAUAUGCUCUUUAAAAUUUUGGAAAAGCUGAUAAUAAAAUUCUGAUAGAUACUUUGUAUUUAUCAAGAGUUUUCAAAAGUAAAAAAGAAUGAUAGCAGUAUCAUUCAAUGCCAAUUUAAUCAUUCGUGAUUAAUUGGUAUCUACUUUAGUAUUCAAUAUUAACUUCUGGCGAAGUUAAACUGUCACAUAACAAAGACCCGUUUGGGUUGUAUGGUUAAGUGACUAAGCGUACACGGUGGAUGCCUUGGC